rnacentral:misc_RNA from 1 species
AACGCACAUUGCGCCCCGUGGUAUUCCGCGGGGCAUGCCUGUUCGAGCGUCAUUACAACCCUCAAGCUCUGCUUGGUGUUGGGUCCCGCCCGCUGCGGCCGGCCCUAAACCCAGUGGCGGUGCCGUCUGGCCCUAAGCGUAGUACUCGUCUCGCUCCAGGGUCCUGCGGUGGCCUGCCAGAACCCACACUCUUUAUGGUUGACCUCGGAUCAGGUAGGGAUACCCGCUGAACUUAA